rnacentral:rRNA from 1 species
CUACGGGAGGCUGCAGUGGGGAAUAUUGUACAAUGGGCGCAAGCCUGAUGCAGCCAUGCCGCGUGUAUGAAGAAGGCCUUCGGGUUGUAAAGUACUUUCAGCGGGGAGGAAGGGAGUAAAGUUAAUACCUUUGCUCAUUGACGUUACCCGCAGAAGAAGCACCGGCUAACUCCGUGCCAGCAGCCGCGGUAAUACGGAGGGUGCAAGCGUUAAUCGGAAUUACUGGGCGUAACGCGCACGCAGGCGGUUUGUUAAGUCAGAUGUGAAAUCCCCGGGCUCAACCUGGGAACUGCAUCUGAUACUGGCAAGCUUGAGUCUCGUAGAGGGGGGUAGAAUUCCAGGUGUAGCGGUGAAAUGCGUAGAGAUCUGGAGGAAUACCGGUGGCGAAGGCGGCCCCCUGGACGAAGACUGACGCUCAGGUGCGAAAGCGUGGGGAGCAAACAGGAUUAGAUACCCCGGUAGUC